GGGACCAGGUAGGAGGUAGGAGGUAGGAGACAGAGUAGAAAGGGAGGGAUACAACAGGGACCAGGUAGGAGGUAGGAGACAGAGUAGAAAGAGAGGGAUACAACAGGGACCGGGUAGGAGGUAGGAGACAGAGUAGAAAGGGAGGGAUACAACAGGGACCGGGUAGGAGAC